GUCACGGCCACCAUCAAGCUCCAGCCACGAACGGAGACACAUGACUGCGUGCGUUUUUCAGUUUCGAAAGUUUCUUCUCCAAUUCAUUUCGGGCAAAUUAAUCCACCAUUUAACGAGCCGUUUGUUCCUACUUAAGCCCCACAUCCUCCUCUUCAUUUCCCCCAAACGGCACACCUAGAGAGCCCCCAGGCUGCUCGAAUUUUGCCUCGCAUGUCCGCAGUACCGUCGCGGUAAAUCGUCGAUUGUGAGCAGCAUCUCCAUUUUCAUCUCUGAGCACCAUCCGCAAAAGGAAUUUUUGGCAAGCCACUCCGGCAAGGAAUCUCCGGCGAACAAGAGGACCCCGCGACCAUCUACUUCAUCAACACACUCGCCUAGUCAUUCCACUUCGAAAGGAAGCGCCCAAGCACGUCAUCAUCACCAUCGAGUUCCCUCGUUGUGCUGAUCCUCCACGACUUCUUCAUCGUUGCCGGAGGCUGUGGAGUCGACCAGGGCAAUCGCAUCCGAGCCGUCCCGUCGUCGACUUCCUGAACUCAUGCGCUACCUACUGCAUCUGUUUGUACGGAGAGCCACGUGUUUUAAUUGAGAGAAAAGGGAACGAUCUUCGACUACCAAAAAGGCAA